UUUUAUCCAUGGUUAUCGUUAAGUAAUAUCUUAUGUGUUUAUUGGCCGUGUACAUUUGGACAUAAUUCAACUUAUGUGUCUUGUUGGUGUGAGGACUCGCAAAUUUCUUAUAUUUUUUCUCAAAAAUACCCUUUUAUUUGGAAAUUAUUUAUUUAUUAUAGCCCUACUACCCAAUCAUUCCAUAAUAAGUGCAAAUGAACUUAGAAAGCAAGGUUUCACUUUUCGUUUUCAAGAUUGGAGCAAGUUAGGGUUUUCACAUUUUUUCGUAGUGUAAUUAUCCGGUACGGUGCGAGGAUCAAAUUUGGUGCUUAAGAGUGACUUUUAGGUAAGAAAUAAUAAGUGAUUAGAAGAAUUGAUAAAAAGUUAGUGAAUAGGAAGUAAAAACCCUAGUACGCGUGAAUUAAGGAAAAACGGUGGGAACCGACGUAUACCGAUUGAACACACCACUUGAUCACCACUUUCUUACCAUACAAGCUCAUUAAUAUUUGAGCAAAAUAUCUCCUUAAUUUCCAGCUAGCCUUGACCGAAUUUUGGGGCUGAAAUUGCAAGAAAGAAAAAGAAAAUUUUGCUUGGUAAUUGGUGGUGACAAGUGUCACACCAUUAAGGGUCUUGACCAAGACCAAUUGUCCAAUCUUCUUAUCACC
rnacentral:lncRNA from 1 species